UUUCCGUAGGUGAACCUGCGGAAGGACCAUUAAGAGUUUAUUGGGGUAGGAGGCGGGUGGGGGUGUGUGGUAAAACGCGCAUUCCUGCAGUCUCUGAACACCAUGGCCUGUGCAAGGAUUUUUGUUUGUGCGAUUUAAUUUGCAUUUGUAUUGUUGGAGAAUUGGUAGUUUGUCUUGAGAAAUAUUUAAAAAAGUGAAAACUUUCAACAAUGGAUCUCUUGGCUCUCGCAUCGAUGAAGAACGGC
rnacentral:misc_RNA from 1 species